AGAAGUUAUAUGUGGUGUUAAGUAUAUACACAUAUAAAAAUGAUAAAACGGUAAUAAGUGUUCAAACUUAGAGAAGAUCUGAAGUAUGUUUCAAAUUCUAAUUACAGUAAAAACUGGCAGAAAAAUAGUGCGUCUUUCCCCUACUCCUGAACCUAACAUUAUGAUCAAAAGGAAAAUAUUUUAUAUAAAUUACUAUUCCACAGCAGAACUUUACUAAACAAUUUGUUUCAGGCAUUAUACUAGAUAUGGACUUAAAGGCAAGCAAGAUGAAUAAGAUGGAGUUUUCUCUGCCUUCGAGGAACCCAGCAUCUCACAGAAGGAAUAGACAUGAUAGAUUUAUAAAGCGAUGUGACAGAUGUGCUACAUAAAUAGCAACCUGUAAGUCAACUUGGACUCCUUGUAUCUAACCCAGACACCCAAUAUUGCUCCCAGAUUUGUGCUGGUUAGAACCCUUUCAUUACAACUGAAAACUCUUAAUCAGUUUCAAUAAAAGAGAGAAUUUACUGACCUGCAUAAGCAAACAUAGAGAAGGAUGUGGUGGCACUAUGCUGAGGGACCACUGAAACCAAGAACAUAACACAAUCCUAGAAUCUGGCUUCAAAAGCAGACUCUAGGAAAUCAGAUAUAGGUGGUCUGCAUGGUGUCAUGCCAGAAUCUUUAUGUUUGGGGUAAGGGUACAGGAGGGAGACUAUGAACAUCUCUGGGAUCAUAUUCUAAUAGCCCUGAACCAAACAGGAAAGAGUAUCUUUCUCUAGCUCAAUUUAGAAUGAGUCCUAGGCAAGGCUCUGAUUAGUCCAAUUGGAUUCAUAUGUCCACCCCAUGAACCAAUCACUGUGGCCAUAGGAUAUAGGAUGUUUACCCAGCUUAGGCCAAGUGCUCACCCCUUACUACAAACAGGUGGUUGAGAUGACAGACUAUAAGUCUAUUGUUUGGAAACGGGACACUGACAAAGACGCAGCCUCAUGAAGAAAUUACUGAGUCAUGCAGCCAACCCAGUGUAAUUUCCAAGGCAUAUUUAAAAAAAUAUAUCCAUCAACUUCUACAUUAUGGUCAUUUCUCCAGUUCUUGUCCUUAUCAUCUUUCUUCUUGACUUCAAUGAGAGUAUUCUCCGAACUGGUCUUCCUUUGUUCAUGCUCUCAACUCCAGUUUGGUAUGCUAUAUGAAAGAGUGUUAGACUGCAUAUGGGUUGCGGGCAGGGAAGCCACUGAGAAGUAGAAAUGGAACAAUCAUCUAAGCAACAGAUAAGGGCCUAAAGAAAGGUAACAGGUUUGGGAUACAGAAGAGAUAGUUCAACAUCUUUUAAGAUGAUAUCAGUAUCAAUUGAUGAAUAAAGAUAUCAAUAAAGAUGAUAAUAUCAACUGGCUGUGGGAUAGGAGAAAGAGAAAGGAAGCAAAAAAAAAAAAAAAAAAAGAUUCCUAGAUUUCUAUAGUUUCAGUGACCGACUGGAUGCUGGAUGGGGCACCAUUUAUUAGGGCAAGAAAUAUAUAAUAAGGAAGAAGAAUGAGUCCACCUGAGGCCAUGCUGAUCUUAAGAAACUUAUGAGGAAUACAGACAAGCCAUUUUUAGUAGAUAAUUGGAUGAACAGAUCUGGUCAUCAAGGAGGUUUGGAUAAUAAAAAUACCAAAGUAGAUAAGAUUCAUUUUUUUGAAAUUGUAUGGCACCCACAUGCCAGACCCUUUAUUAGGGAUACUGAUUCCCUACCAAGGCAUAUAAGGGAAUAGGAAGAUUAGUAAGGAUCUAAUCUCAAACAAACAUGUGGUAGUGGUGGGGGUGGGGGGUGGUGUAGAUUGAAGAAUCAGAAAAGAUUGAUUUUUCAUGAAAAAAAUGAAUACAUAACUUGGGAAACACAGGCACAACAAUAGUUAAGUAAGAAGAAAGAUAAAGUGUGCCCAAAGUCUUCCAGUUUAAAUGGACUGGCUAGCAGCCCUAGACACAGCUUCCUCUAAUAUCCUGCUAAAUACUUAGAAUACAGAAUAAAGUAAAAAUUCAUACACAUAUAACUGAAAACAAAAGAUAACAGAGUGCCAAAAUUUGGGAAUAAUUUCAAUUAUAAGGCAAAUGGAACUAAAUUGAAAUUAAAAACAACUCCUACAACACUCAGGCUUUGCCUCAUGAAACUGCUCCAUUCUGAAAAAAGGAAGACAGAUCUUUUCUCUUCUACUGUCUGUCCAUGACUCAGUCACAGGGUCUCUAUAAAUCUGUCACUACAUAAUGUUGGUUACUUAUCCACUUACUGAAAGCAGGAGUGCUGUUUUUCUGAGGUAGAGCACUCUAACCGAACCAUCCUGUUCCCUCAUCAUAACCAGUGGCUUCUUGUGUCAAUUCAGACAGACAUUUGUAAAAUACAAACAAGGCAGGAAGUUGGUGGGUAGUGGUAGAAGGGCUAACAAUAACAUUAUGCAUCAUAGCUUUAUAAUUAUAGAGGUUUAAUAGCAUGCAUGUUGCAUAUCAGAAUUGUCUUUAUACUCGUCAGGUACAACA